rnacentral:rRNA from 1 species
CUACGGGGGGCUCCAGUGAGGAAUAUUGCACAAUGGGGGGAACCCUGAUGCAGCAACGCCGCGUGGAGGAUGACGCAUUUCGGUGUGUAAACUCCUUUUAUAUGUCAAGAAAAUGACGGUAGCAUAUGAAUAAGCACCGGCUAACUCCGUGCCAGCAGCCGCGGUAAUACGGAGGGUGCAAGCGUUACUCGGAAUCACUGGGCGUAAAGGACGCGUAGGCGGGUUGGAAAGUCAGGUGUGAAAUCCUACAGCUUAACUGUAGAACUGCACUUGAAACUUCUAAUCUAGAGUAUGGGAGGGGGAGAUGGAAUUAGUGGUGUAGGGGUAAACUCCGUAGAUAUCACUAGGAAUACCUAAAGCGAAGGCGAUCUCCCGGAACAUUACUGACGCUAAGGCGUGAAAGCGUGGGGAGCAAACAGGAUUAGAUACCCCUGUAGUC